ensembl:lncRNA
ACUAACCAAAAUGGUAUCUUUUGCAAAGGUUCACCAUAUUUGAGGCUCAUGCUAAGUGCAAGAACAUCCUGUCAUGGGUGAAGAAGGCCUCUUCAACUGAGGUGGUCCCUGCCCUUGAUCUCAGCAUGGAUAGGGAUUUGCCCUGGACACCAUCAUCAUCAUCAUCAACUUCCUCCUCCUGGUCUUCAGUCGUAAUCAAUGUAGCAGAUCUGGGAGCGGCCUCCACAUGCCGCAGCAUCAGAUUCAGCCUUGGGCCAAGUCAUGGGCCAAGCGAGGUCGCCAACCCUAGAACUGGUGCCAGCACACGGAACCCAACUCCCUUCCCCUCCCCCAUUUUCUCAGAUGAGUCUUUGGGAAAUGAGGAAGAGGAUGACAACCUAAGAAAAUAUUGCUCCGCAUCUGAGGACAGAGAUAGAGAGGAUUGGGACAGACCCCGC